CGGACGGGUGAGUAACGCGUAGGAAACCUGCCGUAUACGUGGGGGAUAACACUUAGAAAUAGGUGCUAAUACCGCAUAAGCGCACAGCUUCGCAUGAAGCGGUGUAGAAAAACUCUGGUGGUAUCGAAAAAAAAAAAAAAAAAAAAAAAAAAAAAAAUGGUUCCGCGUCUGAUUAGCUAGUUGGUGGGGUAAUGGCCUACCAAGGCAACGAUCAGUAGCCGGCCUGAGAGGGUGAACGGCCACAUUGGGACUGAGACACGGCCCAAACUCCUACGGAAGGCAGCAG
rnacentral:rRNA from 1 species